rnacentral:rRNA from 1 species
CGUGUAGGCGGCCCAGCAAGUCUGGUGUGAAAGCCCCCGGCUUAACCGGGGAAGUGCAUGAGAAACUGUUGGGCUUGAGUGCGGGAGAGGAAGGUGGAAUUCCCAGUGUAGCGGUGAAAUGCGUAGAUAUUGGGAGGAACAUCGGUUGCGAAGGCGGCCUUCUGGACCGUUACUGACGCUGAGACGCGAAAGCGUGGGGAGCAAACAGGAUUAGAUACCCUGGUAGUCCACGCUGUAAACGGUGAGCACUAGGUGUUGGGGGGUAUCGACCCCCCCAGUGCCGAAGUUAACACAUUAAGUGCUCCGCCUGGGAAGUACGACCGCAAGGUUAAA